rnacentral:rRNA from 1 species
AUGCAAGUCGAGGGGCAGCGGGGUUGAAGCUUGCUUCAACUGCCGGCGACCGGCGCACGGGUGAGUAACACGUAUCCAACCUGCCGAUAACUCUGGGAUAGCCUUUCGAAAGAAAGAUUAAUACCGGAUGGCAUAGUUUUCCCGCAUGGAAUAACUAUUAAAGAAUUUCGGUUAUCGAUGGGGAUGCGUUCCAUUAGGCAGUUGGCGGGGUAACGGCCCACCAAACCGACGAUGGAUAGGGGUUCUGAGAGGAAGGUCCCCACAUUGGAACUGAGACACGGUCCAAACUCC